AUCCCUUCUGCAGCUUUGAAGCACCUCAGCUUGAUUAGGAGUACUGCUGCCCAAGACCAAUCAAUAGUUUCCAAACGUGGGACCAGAAGACACAGAUGCAGGUUGGGAACCGGGACCCAGCAGGUGUCAUCCUGGAAAGAAAGGACAAGAAGAUGGGAUACCAUAGUGUAUCUGAUACCACAAGGAAACAACCUCAAAAGUGCCCAAGAGUGAAAAAGAACAGGACUUUGACCUACUCUGCCACAGAGAAAAAAGGAACAAAAGGCUUGGAAGACUGGGGAUACUAUGUGCCAAUUCCAGGCUAUGGCAGCAAGUGGAAGCAUCAACACCAGUACCACAAAAGUCAGCCCUUAUAA
rnacentral:lncRNA from 1 species